rnacentral:rRNA from 1 species
UAGUAACUGCGAGUGAAGAGGGAAAAGCUCAAAUUUAAAAUCUGGCGGGCUCUGCUCGUCCGAGUUGUAAUCUGGAGAAGCGUUUUCCGCGUCGGACCGUGCACAAGUCUCCUGGAACGGAGCGUCAUAGAGGGUGAGAAUCCCGUCCAUGGCACGGAGCGCCGAUGCUUUGUGAUACGUUUUCAAAGAGUCGAGUUGUUUGGGAAUGCAGCUCAAAACGGGUGGUAAAUUCCAUCUAAAGCUAAAUAUUGGCGAGAGACCGAUAGCGAACAAGUACCGUGAGGGAAAGAUGAAAAGCACUUUGGAAAGAGAGUUAAACAGUACGUGAAAUUGUUGAAAGGGAAACGCUUGAAGUCAGUCGCGUCCGACGGAACUCAGCCUUGCUUCGGCCUGGUGUACUUUCUGUCGGACGGGUCAACAUCAGUUUUGRCCGGUGGAGAAAGGYAGGGGGAAUGUAGCGCCGUUUCGGCGGCGUGUUAUAGCCCCUUGCUGUAUGCAUCGGUCGGGACUGAGGACCGCAGCACGCCUUUUUGGCCGGGGGUUCGCCCUACGUACCGUGCUUAGGAUGUUGGCAUAAUGGCUUUAAGCGACCCGUCUUGAAACACGGACCAAGGAGUCCAACAUGCUUGCGAGUGUUCGGGUGGAAAACCCUUGCGCGUAAUGAAAGUAACAGUUGGGAACCUCCGCAAGGGGGUGCACCGACGCCCGGCCCUGAAGUUCUCUGACGGUGCUGCGGUAGAGCAAGUAUGCUGGGACCCGAAAGAUGGUGAACUAUGCCUGAAUAGGGCGAAGCCAGAGGAAACUCUGGUGGAGGCUCGUAGCGAUUCUGACGUGCAAAUCGAUCGUC